rnacentral:rRNA from 1 species
GACGAACGCUGGCGGCGUGCUUAACACAUGCAAGUCGAGCGAGAAAGCGCCUUCGGGCGUGAGUACAGCGGCGAACGGGUGGGUAACACGUGGGCAACCUGCCCUAGAGACUGGGAUAACGUCCCGAAAGGGACGCUAAUACCGGAUGAUGCGCGACCUGCCAAGUAGGUCGCGCCAAAUGGUAGCUUCGGCUUCUGCUCUGGGAUGGGCCCGCGCCGGAUUAGCUUGUUGGUGAGGUAACGGCUCACCAAGGCGACGAUCCGUAGCUGGUCUGAGAGGACGAUCAGCCACACUGGGACUGAGACACGGCCCAGACUCCUACGGGGGGCAGCAGUGGGGAAUCUUGCGCAAUGGGCGAAAGCCUGACGCAGCAACGCCGCGUGAGCGAAGACGGCCUUCGGGUUGUAAAGCUCUGUCAGGAGGGACGAAGCCACUCAGGUGAAUAGCCGAGAGGGUGACGGUACCUCCAGAGGAAGCCCCGGCUAACUACGUGCCAGCAGCCGCCGUAACAC